rnacentral:rRNA from 1 species
GGGGAAUAUUGCACAAUGGGGGAAACCCUGAUGCAGCGACGCCGCGUGGAGGAAGAAGGUCUUCGGAUUGUAAACUCCUGUUGUUGAGGAAGAUAACGACGGUACUCAACAAGGAAGUGACGGCUAACUACGUGCCAGCAGCCGCGGUAAAACGUAGGUCACAAGCGUUGUCCGGAAUUACUGGGUGUAAAGGGAGCGCAGGCGGGAAGACAAGUUGGAAGUGAAAUCUAUGGGCUCAACCCAUAAACUGCUUUCAAAACUGUUUUUCUUGAGUAGUGCAGAGGUAGGCGGAAUUCCCGGUGUAGCGGUGGAAUGCGUAGAUAUCGGGAGGAACACCAGUGGCGAAGGCGGCCUACUGGGCACCAACUGACGCUGAGGCUCGAAAGCAUGGGUAGCAAACAGGAUUAGAUACCCUGGUAGUCCAUGCCGUAAACGAUGAUUACUAGGUGUUGGAGGAUUGACCCCUUCAGUGCCGCAGUUAACACAAUAAGUAAUCCACCUGGGGAGUACGACCGCAAGGUUGAAACUCAAAGGAAUUGACGGGGGCCCGCACAAGCAGUGGAGUAUGUGGUUUAAUUCGAAGCAACGCGAAGAACCUUACCAGGUCUUGACAUCCGAUGCAUAGCUUAGAGAUAAGUGAAGUCCUUCGGGACAUCGAGACAGGUGGUGCAUGGUUGUCGUCAGCUCGUGUCGUGAGAUGUUGGGUUAAGUCCCGCAACGAGCGCAACCCUUAUUGCCAGUUACUACGAAAGAGGACUCUGGCGAGACUGCCGUUGACAAAACGGAGGAAGGUGGGGAUGACGUCAAAUCAUCAUGCCCUUUAUGACCUGGGCUACACACGUACUACAAUGGCGUUUAACAAAGAGAAGCAAGACCGCGAGGUGGAGCAAAACUCAAAAACAACGUCUCAGUUCAGAUUGCAGGCUGCAACUCGCCUGCAUGAAGUCGGAAUUGCUAGUAAUCGCGGAUCAGCAUGCCGCGGUGAAUACGUUCCCG